CGAGUGGCGAACGGGUGAGUAAUAUAUCGGAACGUGCCCAUUAGUGGGGGAUAGCCCGGCGAAAGCCGGAUUAAUACCGCAUACGACCUGAGGGUGAAAGCGGGGGAUCGCAAGACCUCGCGCUAUUGGAGCGGCCGAUAUCAGAUUAGCUAGUUGGUGGGGUAAAGGCCUACCAAGGCAACGAUCUGUAGUUGGUCUGAGAGGACGACCAGCCACACUGGGACUGAGACACGGCCCAG
rnacentral:rRNA from 1 species